UACGUAGGGGGCGAGCGUUGUCCGGAGUACUGGGCGUAAAGCGCACGCAGGCGGUCUGCUAAGUUUGGAGUGACAGUUGGUGGCUUAACUGCCAAAGUGCUUCGAAAACUGACAGACUUGAGGGCUUACAGAGGGACACGGAAUUCCCGGUGUAGCGGUGAAAUGCGUAGAGAUCGGGAGGAACACCAGAGGCGAAGGCGGCGACCUGGACGAAGUACUGACACUCAACUACGAAAGCGUGGGGAGCAAAC
rnacentral:rRNA from 1 species